UUAAGUUAAUAAGGGCGCACGGUGGAUGCCUUGGCACUAGAAGCCGAUGAAGGACGUGACUAACGACGAAAUGCUUUGGGGAGCUGUAAGUGAGCAAUGAUCCAGAGAUGUCCGAAUGGGGGAACCCGGCAGGUAAUGCCUGUCACUCAUUACUGUUAAGGUAAUGUAGAGGAAGACGCAGUGAACUGAAACAUCUAAGUAGCUGUAGGAAGAGAAAGCAAAAGCGAUUGCCUUAGUAGCGGCGAGCGAAACGGCAAGAGGGCAAACCGAAGAGUUUACUCUUCGGGGUUGUAGGACUGCAACGUGGACUUAAAGAUUAUAGAAGAACUACCUGGGAAGGUAGGCCAAAGAGAGUAAUAGCCUCGUAUUCGAAAUAGUCUUUAUACCUAGCAGUAUCCUGAGUACGGCGAGACACGAGAAAUCUCGUCGGAAUCUGGGAGGACCAUCUCCCAACCCUAAAUACUCUUUAGUGACCGAUAGUGAACCAGUACCGUGAGGGAAAGGUGAAAAGCACCCCGGGAGGGGAGUGAAAUAGAACCUGAAACCGUGUGCCUACAACAAGUUCGAGCCCGUUAAUGGGUGAGAGCGUGCCUUUUGUAGAAUGAACCGGCGAGUUACGAUAUGAUGCGAGGUUAAGUUGAAGAGACGGAGCCGUAGGGAAACCGAGUCUUAAUAGGGCGCAUUAGUAUCAUGUCGUAGACCCGAAACCAUGUGACCUACCCAUGAGCAGGUUGAAGGUGAGGUAAAACUCACUGGAGGACCGAACCAGGGCACGUUGAAAAGUGCUUGGAUGACUUGUGGGUAGCGGAGAAAUUCCAAACGAACUUGGAGAUAGCUGGUUCUCUCCGAAAUAGCUUUAGGGCUAGCGUCGAUGUUAAGUCUCUUGGAGGUAGAGCACUGUUUGGGUGAGGGGUCCAUCCCGGAUUACCAAUCUCAGAUAAACUCCGAAUGCCAAUGAGAUAUAAUCGGCAGUCAGACUGCGAGUGCUAAGAUCCGUAGUCGAAAGGGAAACAGCCCAGACCACCAGCUAAGGUCCCAAAAUAUAUGUUAAGUGGAAAAGGAUGUGGGGUUGCACAGACAACUAGGAUGUUAGCUUAGAAGCAGCUAUUCAUUCAAAGAGUGCGUAAUAGCUCACUAGUCGAGUGACCCUGCGCCGAAAAUGUACCGGGGCUAAAACAUAUUACCGAAGCUGUGGAUACCUUUAUAGGUAUGGUAGGAGAGCGUUCUAUGUGCGAAGAAGGUGUACCGUGAGGAGUGCUGGAGCGCAUAGAAGUGAGAAUGCCGGUAUGAGUAGCGAAAGACAGGUGAGAAUCCUGUCCACCGUAAGACUAAGGUUUCCAGGGGAAGGCUCGUCCGCCCUGGGUUAGUCGGGACCUAAGGAGAGACCGAAAGGUGUAUCCGAUGGACAACAGGUUGAUAUUCCUGUACUAGAGUAUAUAGUGAUGGAGGGACGCAGUAGGCUAACUAAACCAGACGAUUGGAAGUGUCUGGCCAAGCAGUGAGGUGUGAUAUGAGUCAAAUGCUUAUAUCUUUAACAUUGAGCUGUGAUGGGGAGCGAAGUUUAGUAGCGAAGUUAGUGAUGUCACACUGCCGAGAAAAGCUUCUAGCGUUAAUUAUACUCUACCCGUACCGCAAACCGACACAGGUAGUCGAGGCGAGUAGCCUCAGGUGAGCGAGAGAACUCUCGUUAAGGAACUCGGCAAAAUGGCCCCGUAACUUCGGGAGAAGGGGCGCUGACUGAUGGUCAGCCGCAGUGAAUAGGCCCAAGCAACUGUUUAUCAAAAACACAGCUCUCUGCUAAAUCGUAAGAUGAUGUAUAGGGGGUGACGCCUGCCCGGUGCUGGAAGGUUAAGAGGAGUGCUUAGCGUAAGCGAAGGCAUGAAUUGAAGCCCCAGUAAACGGCGGCCGUAACUAUAACGGUCCUAAGGUAGCGAAAUUCCUUGUCGGGUAAGUUCCGACCCGCACGAAAGGCGUAAUGAUUUGGGCACUGUCUCAACGAGAGACUCGGUGAAAUUUUAGUACCUGUGAAGAUGCAGGUUACCCGCGACAGGACGGAAAGACCCCAUGGAGCUUUACUGCAGUUUGAUAUUGAGUAUCUGUACCACAUGUACAGGAUAGGUAGGAGCCUAUGACCUCGGGACGCCAGUUUCGAGUGAGGCGUUGUUGGGAUACUACCCUUGUGUUAUGGCUACUCUAACCCAGAUAGGUUAUCCCUAUCGGAGACAGUGUCUGACGGGCAGUUUGACUGGGGCGGUCGCCUCCUAAAAGGUAACGGAGGCGCCCAAAGGUUCCCUCAGAAUGGUUGGAAAUCAUUCGCAGAGUGUAAAGGUAUAAGGGAGCUUGACUGCGAGAGCUACAACUCGAGCAGGGACGAAAGUCGGGCUUAGUGAUCCGGUGGUUCCGUAUGGAAGGGCCAUCGCUCAACGGAUAAAAGCUACCCUGGGGAUAACAGGCUUAUCUCCCCCAAGAGUUCACAUCGACGGGGAGGUUUGGCACCUCGAUGUCGGCUCGUCGCAUCCUGGGGCUGUAGUCGGUCCCAAGGGUUGGGCUGUUCGCCCAUUAAAGCGGCACGCGAGCUGGGUUCAGAACGUCGUGAGACAGUUCGGUCCCUAUCCGUCGCGGGCGUAGGAAAUUUGAGAGGAUCUGCUCCUAGUACGAGAGGACCAGAGUGGACUUACCGCUGGUGUACCAGUUGUUCUGCCAAGAGCAUCGCUGGGUAGCUAUGUAGGGAAGGGAUAAACGCUGAAAGCAUCUAAGUGUGAAGCCCACCUCAAGAUGAGAUUUCCCAUGAUUUUAUAUCAGUAAGAGCCCUGAGAGAUGAUCAGGUUGAUAGGUUAGAAGUGGAAGUGUGGUGACACAUGUAGCGGACUAAUACUAAUAGCUCGAGGACUUAUCCAA
rnacentral:rRNA from 1 species